UGUUUUUGGUCCCAAGGCUCG
rnacentral:sRNA from 1 species